GGCAGGUCUCUGGAGAAGGGGAGAGGGUGCCCCAGCCCAGUAAAGGGGGUGGGGGAUCUCUAAUGGCAUCCACCACCCCAGACGAGCCCCCACAGAGCCUCUCUCUGCCUUGCCCUGCAUGGUUGGGAAGCAGCACUAAGCACAGGCCAUUCCACCGGCACCCCCCACCUCAACCCCCGCAGUUGGGGAUGGGCCCACAGAGCUCAGCCUCCCUCAGGACCCCGCCCUGGGCUGAUUCUGAGAACACCUAAUAGGUUUCCUACAAACCCUGUUGGCUUCCUGGUUGUUUGUGACUCAAUUAAAUUAACAAAUUGGUCUCUUUGCCCAGAGUCUUUCCACCGCCUGUAUUUCAGCAUAUGUCAGUCAGGGCGGCCCAGCGUCUCCAGAUGGCUUCGAGCUCCCUCUACAUAUCCGAUGCCAGCUCAUCACUGGAGAAGUGUGUGUGUGUGUGGGGAGAGUCCCAGAGACAGAGACAUAAAGCCACAGUGGGGAGAGACGGAAAUGAGGUAGGCAAGACAGAAAGAAUGAGAGGGAGGAAGAGGGAAGGGACAGAAGGCAGGAGAGCCUAGAUUCUUCCUCCUAGUCUAGAAGGACCCUCACCUUCGGGGCUGGGCCUGUGGCCAAGUGGUUAAGGUUCCACACUUUCUGCUUGGGAGGCCUGGGUUCACAGGUUCAGAUCCCAGAUGCGGCCCUACUCCACUCAUCAGCCAUGCUGUGGAGGCAUCCCACAUACAAAGUAGAGGAAGAUGGGCACAGAUGUUAGUUCAGGGCUAAUAUUCCUCAAAUGAAAAGAUAAAAAAAAUAAAAGGACCCUAACCUUCCUGCAGGGAGGGUCUCUCCUCCACGAGGUUGGUGGGGGGUGUCUGAAGAAGACUCUCUCAGCCUCGAGUUCUCUGGCAGACAGUGAAAUUGGUGGUUCUCAAAGUGUGUUCCCUGGACCAGCAGCUCAGCAUGACUUGGGAGCUUGUCAGAAGUGCAAAUUCUCCUGCCUCACCCCAGACCUCCUGAAUCAAAGACUGCGGGGUAGGGCCCAGCAUCUGUGUUUUAACAAGCCCUCCAGGUAUUUCUGCUGCACGCUCGAGUUUGAGAACCACACCCUGAAGUUGCAGUGCUUGGCCUCCAGUGCUGUGAACUGCUCUCAGUCCCCGCCACGGGGCUGCUGUCUUCCAAGAGGAGUGACGUGGGUGGUCUUGAGAGCUGGCACCAUCUUCAGAGUCACUCAAAUGAUACUUCUGUAGCCUUCAAUUACCUGUAGGAAUUGGGGGAACGGGAGGAAGUGUCAAGGAACAGCCCAGAGGAAGAAAAAAGACAACCUGGAGAAAAGGAUGCUUAGAAGGGCAAGGCUGCAGCUGGUGCGUGCAGCUCUUAAGUAGCAGGCUCUCAGCUCCUGCCAUGCAGGACGAUGAUGGAAAGGGGGCACUAAUGGGAAAGCAGUCUGACCCCAGCUUCAGGUGAAUUUGAUGGCGGGUCAAUUUGGGGAUAAUUGUGGUGUGCUGUCUGGAUUCUGCUGGGAGAGGGCAGAUGGGGACAGGAGCAGGGAUGGGUAGAGGGUAGAAGGGAGAGGAGUGGGGGACAGGGAGGGAGAGAGAUGCUGGGGAACAGGGGGCCCAGGCAGAGGCCCCUGCUCCAGGCCUGGAGUUUCCAGAAGACCAUCAUCAUUGUCCAGCCAUCCACAUUGUUCUUCUGGCUUCUGAGGCUGGAGACCAGGGGUGAGGAGCUUGGUGUGGCCCUCAAGGAGAGGCCUGUUCUCAUUUCAGCGGGUGUGGGUAUUAAGUUUGGUCCAUGUGCUGGCAGUGGGCAGGAUGGUCAGUGACCUCAAACUCAAAGUCUUCAGGCUCCGGGCAGAUAACAUAAGAGAGGAGCACAGCCUGGGAGGAAAUGCCAGGGCAGACACUGUCUCCUGGGGAUUGUGUGAACUGGAAAUACAGGCCCUGUCUAGACCGUUCAGCAGCCACCAGACUCCAGCCUGUUAGCACCCAGAAACGUCACUCCCUGCCACCAGGCUGAUCAAAUCCAGAUGGAGGUAUACAGCAGCAGGUCCUGCAAGAGAAGUUACAAGAAGCUCACAUACUGCCUGCGUGCCAGGGGCAGCUCUGUCUGGGCUGGCCGUGGGGAACGGGGCUUCGAAGGGUCCCAGACUCCAUUCUGCAGCGAUGCGGGGCAGCAAAGCAUUUUACAGUGAGGACCACCAUCGUCUGAUCCCUCUAAGAAUGGGUCUUGAAUUUCUGAUGCCAGUUUCUCCCUCAAGGGCCAGCGUAAUGCUGGGCGUCCUGCGUGCAUUCUUUCCAUAAGCCCCCUGCCUUCAGGAAUAUAAAAUGUUUAUCUUUUCUGCUUGACACAGCACAGCUGAGAACCAAAAAGUGAAAUAACCUGUGCUGAGUCAUCAGCCUGGAGGCGGGGGAUUGGAGGCAGGAAAAAUAAAUGUAGCAUCUCCCCCUGGGGGCUCCCGUCAAAGACUGUCGAAGGGAGGGUCCGACAGGUAGGGAGGAGAGGGGGGAGCUUAAGGAGCAGGACUCCCCGUGGUCUGUACUGGUCCAGGAACCCCUUUGGCUGUGGCCUUGAGCAGCAGCUGCAGCUCCUCUCACCUUUCCCUCCUCCAGAUGUCCUCAAACAUCCUAAUAUUUAUUUCUACUUGGGAACAGCAGCAAAUCAACAAAGGCAUGUCAAGGACGCCCUCACCUUCCUCUAUGAGGCUCCAAGCCCUAUUUCUGAUUUUCUAAUUGGAGCGAGUGAAUUCAACUCUGGGGCUGCUUUGAACUCUCGUCUCUGCCAAUUAACCCUCCCUGGGAAGGCUGAAGCGCCUCUUAGAAGUGGCAGAAUGCGAGAGAAGCAAUCACCUAGCUGUGUGAACUUGGGAAGGAAUCUGGAGAUGUGACUGCUUCAUGAACAGACCUUCAACCAAUUCUCCUAAUUUUUGCACCCUUCCCCGUCACCUCCACUUCCAGAAGUAACUGGUGCUGGCAGUUUUCAAGACUUCUGGGGAUUCUGGCUCACAAAUCGGGGUGGUUUUCCACAUUCUGCACUGUUGGCUAAGGAUUUAAUUUUUUCUCCAUUUUCUUGGGUCUGCUAAGUAAAUUAUCCCUUAUCUAGCUGCUUUUCACAUUUCAAAUUUUGCUGCUGUUUUCUACCCUCCCAUUUUCCCCAUUCAUGUGAGUCUGUGCCUUAAAAAAAGUCUCUUUACUAGCAUUUUAAUGGGAUUUCCAUAGAGAAUGAAAUCAAGGGUUUGCAUCUUUACACAAAACUCCCUGCUGUUCAAAUUCCCCUUCUUUUUCCCAUCCAUUUAUUCUUCCACCUAGAAAUCACGGCAGUGAAAACAAAGAAAUGCGUAACCUUAGUCGUAAGCUGUAAAGCAUUACAUUUAGUGGGAGAAUCAAAAAAGGGGCGAGGAGGCGUGAGGAAGGACGUGAAUUAUGUGUAUGUAUUAGGAAAGUGUAUCGAGCAUGAACACAGCUUAAUCUCGAUACUUUUGGAAUACGCAUUUUAGGAAACAGGGCUGAACAAUGUCUUGGUUUAUGAGAUUAGACUGAAAAUACAGCAAUUCAUCCUCGAGGUGUACACUAGGACUUUCUUUCAGAAUUUCCAGAGAAAGAUGAGAUUUUAAUUUGAUCCCAAGGGGGCACGAGUUUUAAAAAAGAGGCGGGGGCAGGAUUGGCCUAAGCUCCGUGCAAAGGAAGAUGCCCUCAAUGACACGCCGAACUCUGGCUCUCCAGGCUGGAGACCUUUUAGGAUAGGUCACCAGGCAAGAAGUGCUGAUGAGCUCACUCCACUCAGCGCAGGCCUCAGCCAGGUGUCUUGCAGGUAUGCUUGUCUUUCUUUGCAGGUCUUCCCU
ensembl:lncRNA